rnacentral:rRNA from 1 species
AUGGAGGAGAUCAGGAGUGAUGACAUGGAGAAGCAAGAUGAAGUUAUGUUACCUGGCUUCAGGUUUCAUCCAACUGAUGAAGAGCUCGUCAGGUUCUACCUCAAGAGGAAAAUCCAGCAGAAGUCUCUUCCGAUUGAGCUUAUCAGGCAGCUAGACAUCUACAAGUUUGAUCCAUGGGAUCUCCCAAAACUAGCAAGCACUGGAGAGAAGGAGUGGUAUUUCUACUGCCCAAGGGAUAGGAAGUACCGGAACAGCACAAGGCCUAACAGGGUGACCGGAGCAGGCUUCUGGAAGGCCACCGGAACCGACAGACCAAUCUACUCCUCCGAUGGAAGCAAGUGUAUAGGCUUGAAGAAGUCUCUCGUCUUUUACAAGGGUAGAGCAGCCAAAGGUGUCAAAACAGACUGGAUGAUGCAUGAGUUUCGGCUGCCAUCACUCACCGACCCUUCAUUGCCGCAGAAGAAGCCACUGGAGAAGACCAUUCCACCAAAUGAUUCGUGGGCAAUCUGCAGGAUUUUCAAGAAAACCAACGCCACAGCGCAGAGGGCGCUCUCACACUCAUGGGUCUCUCCUCCAUUACCCAACACAAAUGGGGCCUACAUACCUCCCCACUUGCAGACCACACACAGAAGUCGACACACCUCAGAGAACACAUCGUCCGCAAUGACCAACAUCAUCUCCUCCAACAUCCAGUUCAGCAGCAGUGGCUAUUUUCCAUCGAUAAUUUCCUCCUGUCAGAGCACUCUCAACAUCAUUGACAGCAUAAGCAGGCCAGCUACAUCCAUAGUUCUCCCACCAUCAGAUGCAGAGCACCAGGCCAUGAGUAUCCUGUCGGCAAUUCCGCUUGAUCUUCCGGCUGGGAUGGACAUUGCAUCGAUGGUUAUGAACGCGUCACCCAUCACAUUCUCCAACAUGGACAGAUCAGCCCCCAUGAACAUUGAGUUUGCGCAGCCGCAACAAUGCAACAACAACAACAUGAUCAGCAGAUGCGUGGUCGACCUGCCUGAUAUCGGCAACAACGUCGGCGGAGCUCCACGGUCCAUGAAUUUCCCAUUCAACAACCUGCAAGGGCCGCUUUCUGAUGACUGGAGAGCGACCGUGCCUUGGGACUCGCUCCCUUGCACCACCGAGGCCUCGACGAAUUACCAGCCGACCAAAUGCUACACUUAG